rnacentral:rRNA from 1 species
GACGAACGCUGGCGGCGUGCCUAACACAUGCAAGUCGAACGGACGAGGCCCCUUCGGGGACCGAGUUAGUGGCGAACGGGUGAGUAACGCGUGAGCAACCUGCCUUUCAGAGGGGGACAACAGUUGGAAACGACUGCUAAUACCGCAUAAUACAUUCGGGGGGCAUCCCCUGAAUAACCAAAGAUUUAUUGCUGAAAGAUGGUCUCGCGUCUGAUUAGCUAGAUGGCGGGGUAACGGCCCACCAUGGCGACGAUCAGUAGCCGGUCUGAGAGGAUGAACGGCCACAUUGGGACUGAGAUACGGCCUAGACUCCUACGGGAGGCAACAGUGGGGAAUAUUGGGCAAUGGGGGAAACCCUGACCCAGCAACGCCGCGUGAAGGAAGAAGGCCUUCGGGUUGUAAACUUCUUUUACCAGGGACGAACAAAUGACGGUACCUGGAGAAAAAGCAACGGCUAACUACGUGCCAGCCGCCGCAGUAACAC